UGAACUCAAAAUCCUCCUGAGUCAUCUUGGAUUACAGUACCGAGUUGAAGCUGUUGGAGGAGGCAACCAUUUCAGUGUGCAAAUCUUUAGUUGAAAACAAUCUCGAACAGGAAAUCUUUGUGCGCUAAUUAAGGUCUUACCUUUCUAGAACCAAAGAACUCAAACUUUCAGCAGAAUGUCAGAA